UACGUAGGUGGCAAGCGUUGUCCGGAUUUACUGGGCGUAAAGGAUGCGUAGGCGGACAUUUAAGUCAGAUGUGAAAUACCCGAGCUUAACUUGGGUGCUGCAUUUGAAACUGGGUGUCUAGAGUGCAGGAGAGGUAAGUGGAAUUCCUAGUGUAGCGGUGAAAUGCGUAGAGAUUAGGAAGAACACCAGUGGCGAAGGCGACUCACUGGACUGUAACUGACGCUGAGGCAUGAAAGCGUGGGGAGCAAACAGG
rnacentral:rRNA from 1 species